rnacentral:lncRNA from 1 species
AAUAUGAUUAAUUAACCCUAAAUCUAAAACAGUAAAUCAUCUGAGUUUUUUUUUUAACUCACUUACUCGAAUCGGCCUCCUAGGACUCACUGUGCGCAACCACCAGAAUUCCACACACCUCCACAUGCGCCACCACCAGACUGCCACGUGUCGUUGCCACUAGUCACCAAUCACCACCAAUCACCACCGUUCAUCGUUUUGGAUUGGCUAAAAUUCACCGCAGAGCACUUUGCGCCCACGAUCCAACGCAAAUCUUGUGGAAUUGCACCGAAGGGAGCUGCGGAACAGUAAAAUGCAUGUCAGACUGCCACGAAAUUGUCUUAUUCUCCUGCGCACUGCCACGCACAGCACUGGCUUCUCCUCCUCCUUUUCCUUCUUUUUCCUCUCCUCUCUUGGCUAUCAAUUGGUGGUAACCACAGCGCCUCCCUUCCUACCUUCCUCUCUAUCCCUUUUUCUUUCUCUCUCUCUCUCUCCCUCUCUCUCUCUCUUUUUCUCUCUUCCUACUUUGAUCUCUUUCCCUCUCUUU